AACGAACGCUGGCGGCAUGCCUAACACAUGCAAGUCGAACGAGACCUUCGGGUCUAGUGGCGCACGGGUGCGUAACGCGUGGGAUCCUGCCCUUAGGUUCGGAAUAACUCCCCGAAAGGGGUGCUAAUACCGGAUAAUGUCUUCGGACCAAAGAUUUAUCGCCUUUGGAUGGGCCCGCGUUGGAUUAGCUAGUUGGUAGGGUAAAAGCCUACCAAGGCGACGAUCCAUAGCUGGUCUGAGAGGAUGAUCAGCCACACUGGGACUGGGACACGGCCCAGACUCCUACGGGAGGCAGCAGUGGGGAAUAUGGGACGAUGGGCGAGAGCCUGAUCCAGCAAGGCCGCGUGAGUGAUGAAGGCCUUAGGGUUGUAAAGCUCUUUUACCCGGGAUGAUAAGGACAGUACCGGGAGAAUAAGCUCCGGCUAACUCCGG
rnacentral:rRNA from 1 species